rnacentral:rRNA from 1 species
UACAGAGGGUGCGAACGUUGCUCGGAAUUACUGGGCGUAAAGCGCAUGUAGGCGGAUCCAUAAGUCGGGCGUGAAAUCCCCGGGCUCAACCCGGGAACUGCGUCCGAUACUGGCAGGCUUGAAUCCGGGAGAGGGAUGUGGAAUUCCAGGUGUAGCGGUGAAAUGCGUAGAUAUCUGGAGGAACACCGGUGGCGAAGGCGGCAUCCUGGACCGGCAUUGACGCUGAGGCGCGAAAGCCAGGGGAGCAAACGGG